ACAGGGAUAACGCUUGGAAACGAACGCUAAUACCUGAUGAGGUGGUCCCGCUAUGCGGGAUUAACUAAAGGUGGGGAUUCUUCGGAACCUGCCGCUUGAGGAGGAGCCCGCGUCCCAUCAGUUAGUUGGUAGGGUAAUGGCCUACCAAGACUAAGACGGGUAGCCGGCCUGAGAGGGUGAUCGGCCACACUGGGACUGAGACACUGCCCAGACUCCUACGGGAGGCUGCAGUCGAGGAUCAUUCGCAAUGCGCGAAAGCGUGACGAUGCGACGCUGCGUGUAGGAUGACGGCCUUCGGGUUGUAAACUACUGUCAUAAGGGAAAAAUAUGGCGAGGGUUAAUAACUCUUGCAAUUGAUGUUACCUUAAGAGGAAGCCACGGCUAACUCUGUGCCAGCAGCCGCGGUAAUACAGAGGUGGCGAGCGUUGUUCGGAUUUACUGGGCGUAAAGGGUGUGUAGGUUGUCACGUAUGUCGGAUGUGAAAUUCCGGGGCCUAACCCCGGCGCUGCAUUCGAAACUGCGUGACUGGAGUACAGGAGAGGUAAGCGGAAUUCUUGGUGUAGCGGUGAAAUGCGUUGAUAUCAGGAAGAACACCGGAUGCGAAGGCGGCUUACUGGAAUGUUACUGACACUGAAACACGAAAGCUAGGGGAGCAAACAGGUUUAGAUACCCUGGUAGUCCUAGCCGUAAACGGUGUGCACUCGGUGUUGGCGGAAUUGUCCCCGCCAGUGCCUAAGCUGACGCGUUAAGUGCACCGCCUGGGGAGUACGGUCGCAAGAUUAAAACUCAAAGAAAUUGACGGGGACCCGCACAAGCGGAGGAGCAUGUGGCUUAAUUCGAUGCAACGCGAAGAACCUUACCUGGGCUUGACAUAUAACUGCACGUCCUGCGAAAGCAGGAUUCCUUCGAGGGUGUUAUACAGGUGCUGCAUGGCUGUCGUCAGUUCGUGCCGUGAGGUGUUGGGUUAAGUCCCGCAACGAACGCAACCCCUGUGUUUAGUUGCUACCAGGUAAUGCUGAGCACUCUAGACAGACUGCCCGUGUAAUCGGGAGGAAGGUGGGGACGACGUCAAGUCAGUAUGGCCCUUACGCCCAGGGCUGCACACGUGCUACAAUGACCGGUACAGAGGGUCGCGAUACCGCGGGGUGGAGCAAAUCCCUUAAAACCGGUCCCAGUUCGGAUUGGAGUCUGCAACUCGACUCCAUGAAGUUGGAUUCGCUAGUAACGGCGUAUCAGCUACGACGCCGUGAAUACGUUCCCGGGUCUUGUACACACCGCCCGUCACAUCAUGAAAGCCGUCUGCACCCAAAGUCGCUGACCCAACUAAUUUAUUAGAGGGAGGCGCCUAAGGUGUGGGUGGUGAUUGGGAUGAAGUCGUAACAAGGUA
rnacentral:rRNA from 1 species